AUUGAACGCUGGCGGCAUGCUUUACACAUGCAAGUCGAACGGUAACAGGUUAAGCUGACGAGUGGCGAACGGGUGAGUAAUGCAUCGGAACGUGCCCGGUCGUGGGGGAUAACGCAGCGAAAGCUGCGCUAAUACCGCAUACGAGCUGAUGAUGAAAGCGGGGGACCGUAAGGCCUCGCGCGAUCGUAGCGGACGAUGUCAGAGUAGGUAGUUGGUGGGGUAAAGGCUCACCAAGCCGACGAUCCGUAGCUGGUCUGAGAGGACGACCAGCCACACUGGGACUGAGACACGGCCCAGACUCCUACGGGAGGCAGCAGUGGGGAAUUUUGGACAAUGGGCGCAAGCCUGAUCCAGCAAUGCCGCGUGCAGAAGAAGGCCUUCGGGUUGUAAACUGCUUUUGUACGGAGCGAAAAGGCUCUCUCUAAUACAGGGGGCUCAUGACGGUACCGUAAGAAUAAGCACCGGCUAACUACGUGCCAGCCGCCGCCGUAA
rnacentral:rRNA from 1 species